rnacentral:rRNA from 1 species
UACGUAGGGUGCAAGCGUUAAUCGGAAUUACUGGGCGUAAAGCGUGCGCAGGCGGUUAUGUAAGACAGAUGUGAAAUCCCCGGGCUCAACCUGGGAACUGCAUUUGUGACUGCAUCGCUGGAGUGCGGCAGAGGGGGGAUGGAAUUCCGCGUGUAGCAGUGAAAUGCGUAGAUAUGCGGAGGAACACCGAUGGCGAAGGCAAUCCCCUGGGCCUGCACUGACGCUCAUGCACGAAAGCGUGGGGAGCAAACAGG